UACGUAGGGUGCAAGCGUUGUCCGGAAUUAUUGGGCGUAAAGAGCUCGUAGGCGGUUUGUCGCGUCUGCUGUGAAAACUCGGGGCUUAACUCCGGGCCUGCAGUGGGUACGGGCAGACUAGAGUGCGGUAGGGGAGACUGGAAUUCCUGGUGUAGCGGUGAAAUGCGCAGAUAUCAGGAGGAACCCCGAUGGCGAAGGCAGAUCUCUGGGCCGUAACUGACGCUGAGGAGCGAAAGCAUGGGGAGCGAACAGG
rnacentral:rRNA from 1 species